GUACUCCGGGGAUAACAGGCUGAUACCGCCCAAGAGUUCAUAUCGACGGCGGUGUUUGGCACCUCGAUGUCGGCUCAUCACAUCCUGGGGCUGAAGUAGGUCCCAAGGGUAUGGCUGUUCGCCAUUUAAAGUGGUACGCGAGCUGGGUUUAGAACGUCGUGAGACAGUUCGGUCCCUAUCUGCCGUGGGCGCUGGAGAACUGAGGGGGGCUGCUCCUAGUACGAGAGGACCGGAGUGGACGCAUCACUGGUGUUCGGGUUGUCAUGCCAAUGGCACUGCCCGGUAGCUAAAUGCGGAAGAGAUAAGUGCUGAAAGCAUCUAAGCACGAAACUUGCCCCGAGAUGAGU
rnacentral:rRNA from 1 species